rnacentral:lncRNA from 1 species
CUCACUUCUGACUUUGCCUUCCCCUCAGACGCUGCUGUGACUGGCUCUCCCAAUUUUAGACAAGCUCAGAUCUACCCACCUCUGGUCAAUAGUGAGGAAGAGUUCUGGGACCUUAAGACGCUUUCAGUUUGACCUGGAACCACUUACAGUUCUACCUCAACAUUUUUAAAGGAAAAUGAAGUCAGAAUGUCAAAACAUACCAGGCGCAUUUUAACAUAUGGGCAUUGUUGAUACUCUGCCUAGGAAUCUUCUUGGCACUGUGAGAAUACAGAAGUGAAACUAUCACCCGUGUUAGAGUGAUGAGAUGAAUAUACUCCGCCAAUCACAGGGGAAAACAAGGGCUGAGUACAAUGGACCCUCAUCCUGCAAUUAGUAGGUGCUCAAAAACAUUUGUUGGUUGGAUAAUUGAGAGAAGACAGUGAUGCAGAGGCCUGAAAUAAACAGAAAGAGGUUCAGGGAGGAGGCAGGAUUUAAGCUGGAAAUGGAAAUAUCAGCUGCAUUUAGUUGAACAAGAGGGAGGUCCUGCCCAUCAAGGGGAGUAUUGUACAAAAUGAGGUGAACAGUGGGUUGAUUCAUGAGGGGCAAGUGAGAAGAGCUGUCUGAAUCAAUCAGAGUGUCAUUCUAGGGAGAAAUGAG